rnacentral:rRNA from 1 species
AUUGAACGCUGGCGGCAGGCCUAACACAUGCAAGUCGAGCGAGCGGCGGACGGGUGAGUAAUGUCUGGGAAACUGCCUGAUGGAGGGGGAUAACUACUGGAAACGGUAGCUAAUACCGCAUACCAUCAGAUGUGCCCAGAUGGGAUUAGCUAGUCGGUGGGGUAACGGCUCCCCUAGGCGACGAUCCCUAGCUGGUCUGAGAGGAUGACCAGCAACACUGGAACUGAGAAACGGUCCAGACUCCUCCGGGAUGCAGCAGUAGGUAAUAGUGCACCAUGGGCGCAAGCCUGAUGCAGCCAUGCCGCGUGUGUGAAGAAGGCCUUCGGGUUGUAAAGCACUUUCAGCAGGGAGGCGUUACCCGCAGAAGAAGCACCGGCUAACUCCGGGCCAGCAGCCGCGGUAAUAC